UCCCCGGUAGCUCAAUUGGUAGAGCGCGCGGCUGUUAACCGCAAGGUUCGAGGUUCGAGUCCUCGCCGGGGAGCCA
rnacentral:tRNA from 1 species